UAGUCCACGCUGUAAACGAUGUCUACUAGCCGUCGGGGUCCUUAGUGACUUUGGUGGCGCAGCUAACGCGAUAAGUAGACCGCCUGGGGAGUACGGCCGCAAGGUUAAAACUCAAAUGAAUUGACGGGGGCCCGCACAAGCGGUGGAGCAUGUGGUUUAAUUCGAUGCAACGCGAAGAACCUUACCAGGUCUUGACAUCCUCGGAAUUUGGCAGAGAUGCCUUAGUGCCUUCGGGAGCCGAGUGACAGGUGCUGCAUGGCCGUCGUCAGCUCGUGUCGUGAGAUGUUGGGUUAAGUCCCGUAACGAGCGCAACCCUUGUCCUUAGUUGCCAGCACGUAAUGGUGGGAACUCUAGGGAGACUGCCGGUGACAAACCGGAGGAAGGUGGGGACGACGUCAGGUCAUCAUGGCCCUUACGACCUGGGCUACACACGUGCUACAAUGGCUGGUACAGAGGGUUGCGAAGUCGCGAGGCGAAGCUAAUCCCUUAAAGCCAGUCGUAGUCCGGAUCGGAGU
rnacentral:rRNA from 1 species